rnacentral:rRNA from 1 species
UACAGAGGGUGCGAGCGUUAAUCGGAAUUACUGGGCGUAAAGCGCGCGUAGGCGGCUUUUCAAGUCGAUUGUGAAAUCCCCGGGCUCAACCUGGGAACUGCAUUUGUGACUGCAUCGCUGGAGUGCGGCAGAGGGGGAUGGAAUUCCGCGUGUAGCAGUGAAAUGCGUAGAUAUGCGGAGGAACACCGAUGGCGAAGGCAAUCCCCUGGGCCUGCACUGACGCUCAUGCACGAAAGCGUGGGGAGCAAACAGG